rnacentral:rRNA from 2 species
CCUGAAAAUUUGGAACAGAUGGAUAUAAUUUGGUAGUGGAACGUUUGAA